rnacentral:rRNA from 1 species
AUACGGAGGGUGCGAGCGUUGUUCGGAAUUACUGGGCGUAAAGCGCGCGCAGGCGGAUGUGCAAGUCGAAGGUGAAAUCCCGGGGCUCAACCCCGGGACUGCUCUCGAUACUGCAUGUCUAGGGACCGGUAGAGGUCAGUGGAAUUCCCGGUGUAGCGGUGGAAUGCGUAGAUAUCGGGAGGAACACCUGUGGCGAAGGCGGCCGACUGGGCCGGAUCCGACGCUGAGGCGCGAAAGCGUGGGGAGCAAACAGGAUUAGAGACCCUGGUAGUCCACGCCGUAAACGAUGGGUGCUAGAUGCUGGGGGGAGCGACCCCUUCGGUGUCGUAGCUAACGCAUUAAGCACCCCGCCUGGGGAGUACGGCCGCAAGGCUGAA